rnacentral:rRNA from 1 species
UGCAAGUCGAGCGGUAGAGAGAAGCUUGCUUCUCUUGAGAGCGGCGGACGGGUGAGUAAUGCCUAGGAAUCUGCCUGGUAGUGGGGGAUAACGUUCGGAAACGGACGCUAAUACCGCAUACGUCCUACGGGAGAAAGCAGGGGACCUUCGGGCCUUGCGCUAUCAGAUGAGCCUAGGUCGGAUUAGCUAGUUGGUGAGGUAAUGGCUCACCAAGGCGACGAUCCGUAACUGGUCUGAGAGGAUGAUCAGUCACACUGGAACUGAGACACGGUCCAGACUCCUACGGGAGGCAGCAGUGGGGAAUAUUGGACAAUGGGCGAAAGCCUGAUCCAGCCAUGCCGCGUGUGUGAAGAAGGUCUUCGGAUUGUAAAGCACUUUAAGUUGGGAGGAAGGGCAGUUGCCUAAUACGUAACUGUUUUGACGUUACCGACAGAAUAAGCACCGGCUAACUCUGUGCCAGCAGCCGCGGUAAUACAGAGGGUGCAAGCGUUAAUCGGAAUUACUGGGCGUAAAGCGCGCGUAGGUGGUUUGUUAAGUUGGAUGUGAAAUCCCCGGGCUCAACCUGGGAACUGCAUUCAAAACUGACUGACUAGAGUAUGGUAGAGGGUGGUGGAAUUUCCUGUGUAGCGGUGAAAUGCGUAGAUAUAGGAAGGAACACCAGUGGCGAAGGCGACCACCUGGACUAAUACUGACACUGAGGUGCGAAAGCGUGGGGAGCAAACAGGAUUAGAUACCCUGGUAGUCCACGCCGUAAACGAUGUCAACUAGCCGUUGGAAGCCUUGAGCUUUUAGUGGCGCAGCUAACGC